GUGUAUUUGGAAAUAUCCCUAAUACAGGAUCACUUGGAUCCGUCGGCGAUGACGAGCGCGAAAGAAUGCGAAAAGUCCUCACGGAAUGCUCUAAUUAUGAGAUAAUCUCAUGGAUACUCCCUGGACUUAAGCAUAUCAUUAAGGGAAGGAAAAGAAACUAACUAGGAUUCCGUUAGUAGUGGCGAAUGAACACGGAAGAGCUCCAAUGGUAAAGCCUAAGUGCUGUUGUAAUGUAGCCUCCGAAAACAUUCUGGAAAGGAUGACCACAGUGGGUGAUAGUCCCAGAGGAGGAUGUAAAGAAUAGAGUAGUGCUGCUUGGUAGUGCAGUAUGAAGAGGAGGUAGAAACUUCUAAAGCUAAAUACAGACGGAUACCGAUAGAGAAGAAGUAGUGCGAACGAAAGUUGAAAAGAUCUCAUCUAGAGAAUGAAAAGUGAAAGUAUUAGGGCGUAAGCUGAUGACAUCAGACCCGUAUUGAAACACGGACCAAGGAGACUUUGAGUAUAGCGAGGCGAAGGAUGUGAAGUCCCCACCCGCGAGAAAUCUACAAGUUAUACUGAUAGGACCCGAAAGGCAGUGAACUAUACCUGCUCUGCUUGACGCCACGGCAAACCGUGGUUGAGGAGCUAAGUCGUAUUGAUGUUCAACUCAUUGACAGGAAGUGGGUAUAGGGGAAAGACCAUCAACGU
rnacentral:ncRNA from 1 species